rnacentral:lncRNA from 1 species
AUUCAACCUAUUCUCACAUAGUGUAUUCAUUUAGAUUCCUCUCUUGUCUCUCCCAUAGAUAGUCAUCACACAAUUAUCCUGAAAAAGAUUUAUUGCCCACAAAUUUAUAUAUUUCCUCCUUUCUUUUGAAGACAUAUACUGCAAAUUACCAGCUCCAUACAGUUUGAUAUCACACCUAUAAUCAAAGUACUCUGGACUGAAAUAUCCUAAGAUUCCAAGUUAAAUUGCUGCUUUUGGCAAGAGACCCAAGGAAUUUCAUUUAAUGGAGGCAGGGUGUGGGCAGUUUCCCCAGACCAGAAACUUUGAAUAACUUUUUAUAAAAGAUAAUUAAAUAAUUGAACAGUACCAAGAAACAUUUAAGGUUUUUAUAUAAUAAUCACAAAUUGUAAUAGCUAUUCUAUGUGGGUUUUUUUUUUUUCCUUUUACCAUAUCUAUAAAGGUAGUGGACAUGAUGAUCAUUUAACUUUAGUGAUUACAGCUUGAUUUCGAAAAACCUUUUCCUUUGCAAUACCCAGUUCUUAAGUCAAAUCACUGCACUGGGACUAGAUCCUGAAAUCUUAAAAUACUGUUAACUCAGUUACUAAUCUGUUACUGAUUUUUUUUUCUUUUUACACACUUAUCUCAGUCUUUUUACAGUUAAAUCCAUAACUCAAAAGAAUUAAAAUCUUUACAUUUCUAAGAAUAUUUCUAAUAUAACAAAUAAUCAUAUUAAUUGUAGGCACUUUUAACACAUUACAGAUCACAUUAACUGGGAUAAUAGCUUACUAACUUUCAGAUCCAUAUAGUAUAAGCAUAAUGAUGCGUAUUUGGAUCUACUUUCCAAACAAUAUUAUAAAGAACCUUAAUUUGUAAUUUCAGUGAUUUAAUAUUUUAUAUAAGGGCUAUUUAUUUCAAGCAUUUCAUAUUAUGGAAUUCACCAUUUCCAGCUAAUUUACUGCCAAAGAUUUUAAACAGUAUAUGUGAUUUUAAUUAUAACAAAUUCUUUCACACUUAAGAACUGAGUUGCUCAUUAGAUUGUCCCUAAACCCUAGACUAUUUGAAACUGUGGUGUGGAACAAGAGGGGCUUGGAACAUGUAGUAUCCUCCAUUUUGAGUGCCAAGCUUGUUGACUUACUACUUAACAGAAACAUUUUUUCAAAUUAGAAAGCAACUUGCCCUCCCUUCUUUCCUGCUGCUCCUCAUCUUUAGGAAUUUGGAAAGUUAACAAUUUACAAAUCAGAAAAGCAGUAUUUCUUGCACAUCUUUCAAUAACGUUAUAAAAACAGCUUUACAAUGUUAAUAUGUACUUUAAAUAAAUUGCUGAAAUCCUAAAGUUAUUGCAUUUAAGACUAUGAUAGAAAAACUUCUGAUCAAAGUGUCUUAAAAGACAAAAAAACUUAGUUCUGCAGUUUUAAACAAAUUGGCCUGACAUUCAGAUAUAUUACGGGGGCAAAGACAGUCCCCUGGAUUUAAUAUUAACAUAAUCUACAAACUUUAACUUUGGGAUCCAAUAAAAUCUGAAUUGAUUCAAUUUUACCAUAACAAAAAAAAAAAUUCCCUUUUGCCAAGUGACUAAAUGAAGAAACUGUUUUCCCUCACCAGCUCUUCAAACUGCUUAUUCUAGAUUUUAAUUAGUUGCUAAAUCCAAGAAAGAAAAAUAAAUAACCUUAAUGUUUUUACAGAGAAAGAGACCUGCAAAAUGGAAAACUCCUGAAUCUUAACCUGCUUUUUCAGUUACCUCUAUCUAGCAAGUACAUGCCAAGAAAAGACAAAACAGACAAAAGCAUAAAGCAAUCAAAGUUGAGAUAAAAACUAGUUUGGGAAAGGUUUUUACACUGCUUUUUUACUUGCUUCCUGCUUCUAUUCAGAGCAGGUUGAUUUUUUUUUUUUUCAGUGCCACACUCAAUCCUAUGUUUAGCUUAAUUUCUUCUUAAAAUUCCUUCUGACAUACUUCCACCUGAACCUUAAGGUGACUUCUCUCCAAACCCUUUUGGGAAGAAUUUUAAUUUGCUCCCCAAGAUUCAUACUUUACCAGAGUUGGUACUCUUCACAGCUUGCCUGUUUCAUUCAACCCUCUUAAGGCUCUCACAAUGAAAUUUGCAAAAAAAUUUUGGGUCAUGCUUGCUUAUUAACUCUCUAAUAAGAGGACUUAAUGGCCAAGUUUCUAAUCCCAAAGUGAACCCCCAAAUUUCUCAGGUGGGUCCCCAUGUCUAUGCCGAAUAUCCCAAAGCAUCCCCAAAAGUCAUCUUAAAAACAGGAUUUCUUUUUUUAAGCUCUCUGAGUCAAGGAGUUCAGUUAGCAAGCUCUGUCCCUGUAAACCUAUUUGAGAGGACCCUAUAUGGUGGUGAGAGUGAAAAUUAGAGAGUUGCAGCAUUAAAAACAUAGACACAAACAUAUAAACUUAACCAGAUACAAUUUAAUUAUUGAUAAAAAGAAAUGUCAUAUCACAACUAGAGUCCUAACAAAAAAACUCUCCUUGUGGAGAACUCUCCAUGGGCCCAAAAUAGAGGAAAUUUUGGUUAAGAAACUAGAGUGCAGGGCUUUGAUCCUUUGUGGUUGGCAUAAUUAGGGUAAUUAAAAUGUUUUAGAAACAAGUUUCUGGAUAACUUAAUCAUUUUAUUAAUAAGGCUAGCAUGUUUAUUAAUAAAAGGAUUGUCAUUUGACAGUCUCUCUUAGACCAAAGACCAUCAUGGUGGUGGGUUCACAUAUAUAUAUACAUACCCUUCAAAGAGUAGAUGUUCCCCUAGUUGGGAAUUAACCCUGAUUGGUUAAUAAUGAAAGAAUGAAUAUAAUAAAGAAGGGCUGGGCAUAAACUUUGUUUAAGCCAUUUAUUUCUUAAAUUAACCCCAGCCUUGGGCAAUCUAGUCAAAGAAUUUAUGCACCAUCCAAGCCUGAGAAAAUAAAAUAGCUACCCAUAUAUUUGGAUGGGAUCAGAAGAAGAAAGUCCAAUCUCAUUAUUAGUAAUGUCCUUCUAGAGAUUGAACUUUUAAAAUCAGGGACUUUAGAAAAAAGGAGGGCAUUAUGGGUUUUCUCAGAUCAUUGGUCAUUCAUAAUAAUUUAUCAUAUAUUUUAUUAGAAAUGUUAGUACUUUCACAAUGAAUGACACUUAUUUAAGAUGUUAGUAGGUUAAAUUUUUAAUCCAUGAUUUCCUUUUCAUUUUUAAGUAAAUUUAAGAACCUGAUUUUGAUUUUAUAACUCAGUCAUUUAAAUUUUUAGAUAUUUUAUACUUUAUUCUUAUAUUUCUUAGUGAAUCACACAUUGUUCUUAAAGUAUUUUGAUUUGCUUACAAGUGUGUGGUGGUCCUUUUGGGAUUCUGUCUACUUUGUUCUGUGUUCAUUGUGCACAUAGUCUUUAAGUUUACAAACCUGGCAAUGGGAAAGCUGCUUUAAUUUGAUUUGUUUUUUUCAGUGAAUAUUUUGUAUAUGAUCACUGAUGAUUAGAAAUGUAAAUCUAUUCACAAUUGUUUUUAUCUCUUGUAUACUCAAGUGAAUUGUAAGCAUUUUCUUUAGGGGGAAAAAAGCAAACCCUUUUUAUUCAGUCCAGCAGAGGAGUUUUUGUCAUGGUUUACAUACUACUAAUCAUUUAAAAUGCUACUUUUUAUGUGGGGAGGGGGGAGAAGUAUUUGUGUUGCAGGUAAAAACAGAAAGGUUAGGUCAACUUUAGUAAUUUUUAUGAACAAUGACUUUAAAUGGGUACAGAAUUUGAUUGCUUUUUAAACUCUUUCUGACAGAACUUAACUUUAUUACUUUAGACUUUAUUAAAGAAUUUUGUGAACUUAAUUGGAUACUUUACGGUUUCUUAUAAGGGAAUACACAAAAUUUUGCAAUUAUGGAAAAUGGAAUCAUAAUAUGAAUCUCAAUCCAAAUAAUGUCAUAUGUAUUUUCUGUUGAAGUCUCUUCAUGCCCUACUACUCCUUUAUUAGUUGGUUUUCUUUAAAAUAUUCUAAUUUUGUGUGUGUGUGUCAAGAAGGGGCUUCAGGUUUGUAUUUAAAUAUGUGCACACAUACUUGAAAAUUAUGUUAUAAAUUCAAAAGCUAGUAGUAAAUACUUAUAUCAAAAAAAAUUUUUUUAAGUGACGAAAAUGCUAGUUAUUUCAGAAUAUAUAUACAGAGAGAGAGAAAAAGAAUUUGAUAUUUAUGGCCUCUCUUGCCAUCAUUAGUGAAGAUAGUAACUAUUUUGGUUUUUAAAAAUAUAUACAUAGUUUGACCUAAAUAUUAAAAUUUUAACUUCUAAGACACUUCACUCUAACAUUAUCAAUGUUUCAUGCAAUGCAAAGAAUUAUACUGUGGUAAAAAGAUAAAACAUCCUGAUGUUUAAUGGGGUUCUAUAUUUGAUAUAAAGCCAAGGCUAUAGGAGUACUACCUGAAAUGCUUUUUAUGUGUUUGGAAGAAAAUGUGUGUGAAAGUUGCCACUUACAUAGAUUGAGAAUUUAUUCUCUUUGGACUUGGAACCAUGUUUGGGUAUUGCAUAAGAUUUAUUUUGUCUCCAUUCUGUAUUUUGCUUUACUAAUUGGAGUUAAGAAAUCUUGAGGUUUGGUCAUAUCAGCAGUCAAAUUGGAAUAAUACUCAAUGUAAAUAAUUUCAUCAGCAUGAUUCAACAGUGGAAUAGUAUUUUAGAAAUUUAAAAGUAUUCAGCAUUAUAUUUGUCUUCCUUUUUUGAUUAGGAGCAGAACAAUAUUUAACAAGUGCAAUAGCCUCAGUUAUGGAUGAGAUGACAAUUAAAACAUUUUGUACUUUGUUCUAAUAUUGGGGGUGGGGGGAGGGUCGGAACCAUUUGCUGCUGAACCUACUGCCUUCUUAAAGGCUUUCUUUGCACCUUAGAAAAUAUUUAAAGAGGGGAAAUGUUAUACACAUUAAUUUGCUUUCUUUGAUAUCUAUGGUCCUUAAAGGUCAACCUCAAUUCUCAAGAAGCCAAUCUUGAAAUAUUCUUUACCUUCAAACACAAAAGGAUCAUGACUGAACACAGCCUCUAUGCAGCAGCAACAUGUGUUUCAUACAAUAGUUCAUUUAAUUAGAUUUGCACAUUACUUAUCAUGACAAAAGUACCUGUUAAGAUCCCCUUGUAAGCAAUAAAGAUUAGUCCAAGUUUCAGCUUCUGUGCUUUAUUGUAAAAUAAGUGAUUUUGUCAUAUUGGAUCUUCAUUUACAGAUAACUUUUCAUGAGCUUCUUUAGGUUUUUUAUAAACUUGUUGGUACCAUCUUUAUAAUUCUUAUUGAAGAUAUGCUACUAUUCUCAAUGAUUACAUCUUGUUAACGAGUAUUUAAGUUGCUUUACUUUCAAAGUACUUUUUCUUUUGUGGUUUUUUUAGUGUUUGAAAUAUUAAUUAAACCUAUAUUUUGUAAUUGUUUUCUGGUUUGUUUUGAGAUUCUCUUCACUUGGUAGUUUUCUUGGCUGGACUUAUCAUGAAAAGUGAUUUUAUUAAUUAACCUUUUUCAGCUCUUAGUGAUAAUAUCCUUGUAUAAUUGUGCUGCAGAUUUUUUAAAAAGUGAAUGUAGGGGCAGCUAGUUGGCGCAGUGGAUAGAGCACCAGCCCUGAAGU